rnacentral:rRNA from 1 species
GAGGAAUAUUGGGCAAUGCCCGCAAGGGUGACCCAGCAACGCCGCGUGGAGGAUGAAUGUCGUAAGAUUGUAAACUCCUGUUAGAGGGGAAGAAUAGUACCGGUUGGACCGGUAUAUGACUGUACCCUCAGAGAAAGCCCCGGCUAACUACGUGCCAGCAGCCGCGGUAAUACGUAGGGGGCACGCGUUGUCCGGAUUUACUGGGUGUGAAGGGCGCGCAGGCGGGAUAAAAAGUCAGUGGUGAAAUCCUACAGCUUAACUGUAGAACUGCCUUUGAUACUUUUAUUCUUGAGUUCGGGAGAGAGAGACGGAAUUCCAGGUGUAGUGGUGAAAUACGUAGAUAUCUGGAAGAACACCAGUUGCGAAGGCGGUCUCUUGGUCCGACACUGACGCUGAGGCGCGAAAGCGUGGGGAGCAAACA